UACCCAUUUGUGUAUACACUUUUAUCAACACUGCGCAGAAAAUCAACCCUGCCGCCAUGAUAACCAUCUUUGACAAAAGUCAACGAAUAGAUGAACUUCCGCUGAAACUUUCUUUCGUUCUCAGUCGUCUUCGAGUAUAGAAGCAUUAUGAGAGCUAAGUGGCGUAAGAAGCGUAUGCGUAGGUUGAAGCGUAAGCGCAGAAAGAUGCGUGCAAGGUCCAAAUAAAUUGAUACUGGAAAUCCCGCUAUUACAAUAAUUCCGUACAACUUUUAAACAAAUGGGAAGCUUCAAGUUAUUAAUUUUUUGUACGCACCCCAUUAUCACUGUGUGAUGAUGGUCACGUCAAGUUUCGAAAGCAGGCUGAUAUUACAACAGUUUUUGUUGUAAUGGAUGUUUUAUUGAAGAAAUAAAGAGUAAAAUCUUUGGAUUUUUACUUGAAGUGAAAAA